rnacentral:rRNA from 1 species
GAUGAACGCUGGCGGCGUGCCUAAUACAUGCAAGUCGAGCGAACAGAUGAGGAGCUUGCUCCUCUGACGUUAGCGGCGGACGGGUGAGUAACACGUGGAUAACCUACCUAUAAGACUGGGAUAACUUCGGGAAACCGGAGCUAAUACCGGAUAAUAUAUUGAACCGCAUGGUUCAAUAGUGAAAGACGGCUUUGCUGUCACUUAUAGAUGGAUCCGCGCCGCAUUAGCUAGUUGGUAAGGUAACGGCUUACCAAGGCAACGAUGCGUAGCCGACCUGAGAGGGUGAUCGGCCACACUGGAACUGAGACACGGUCCAGACUCCUACGGGAGGCAGCAGUAGGGAAUCUUCCGCGAUGGGCGAAAGCCUGACGGAGCAACGCCGCGUGAGUGAUGAAGGUCUUCGGAUCGUAAAACUCUGUUAUUAGGGAAGAACAAAUGUGUAAGUAACUAUGCACGUCUUGACGGUACCUAAUCAGAAAGCCACGGCUAACUACGUG